rnacentral:rRNA from 1 species
AUGCACGCGCGCAAGAAGCCACACCACAUCUCGAGCGCAACUGCCUUUGAAUCAUGGGUGGACGCGCGUGAGGCCGCCGGUGCGCGUCCGGGCGUGUUGUCCAGCCGCCGCAGCCGCACGCGCUUGCUGGCUUGCAUGGUGAACGUAGCCACUUGCGCAGUCAUGCACGCAACCGCCGCCGCGUGCUGGUCGGCCUGGCCGUCGCCGUCGCGUGCGUGUGUGCAGCCGUGUGUGCUGCCCGUCGACGUUGUCCAGCUGGUCCUUUUCAUCGACGAAGCCCUUGUCCUCUGCAUGCUCUGGUGGUGCCGCUCACAAAGUGCUCGACAGAAUGUCUGA